rnacentral:rRNA from 1 species
UACGUAGGGUGCGAGCGUUGUCCGGAAUUAUUGGGCGUAAAGAGCUUGUAGGCGGUUUGUCGCGUCUGCUGUGAAAAUCCGGGACUCAACCCCGGACCUGCAGUGGGUACGGGCAGACUAGAGUGUGGUAGGGGAGACUGGAAUUCCUGGUGUAGCGGUGAAAUGCGCAGAUAUCAGGAGGAACACCGGUGGCGAAGGCGGAUCUCUGGGCCGUAACUGACGCUGGAGGAGCGAAAGCAUGGGGAGCGAACAGG